UCUCAUUCCGCUUUCAGUUGCAGACUUCAGAGUCACCGUGAUCAUGCAAGCCUUUCACAUCACGUGAGGAUCAAGGGCUCAAUUGGUUGUCGUGAGAACAAAAAUGGUGACAAGCGUAUCAAGAAAAUACUGAUCUGGUCUUUAAAAAAAAAAAAAGCUGAAGGUUUCUCCCUUCCCCCUGCAACCCACCUUCCCCCUCCCCGCACGCCCUACGGUGGGCGAAGCUACAAGUUAUGAAUGCGAAGCAUUUCUUAGCCAUCUAGGAUCUCGGAAGUUCGGAAGGAGGGAAAUGUAAUGGCCACAAGAGCAAAGCAGAUGUUUUAAAGAAACAGCUUAUAAACCUUUCCUCAACAGAUCUCCAAUUUGUCGGCUUUCCCAAGGGGGUCAAGGCAGCGGACGCCUGGGGGGAGGGCAGAGUACCUCGGAGCUGCUGGGAUUUUAGGAACACCCCCCCUUCAUGUAUUAAACAAAGAAAAACAUUUUGCUAGCUCCCAAACAGGGACUUGUAAUAAACACACCAUUGUUACUA